rnacentral:tRNA from 1 species
UCCCCGAUAGUCUAGUGGUGAGGAUAUCUGCUUGUCAUUGAAGUUAAGAGAUUCGCAGGGGACCGAGGUUCAAUUCCCCGUCGAGGAG